rnacentral:rRNA from 1 species
GAUGAACGCUGGCGGCGUGCCUAAUACAUGCAAGUCGAGCGAACAGACGAGGAGCUUGCUCCUCUGACGUUAGCGGCGGACGGGUGAGUAACACGUGGAUAACCUACCUAUAAGACUGGGAUAACUUCGGGAAACCGGAGCUAAUACCGGAUAACAUGUUGAACCGCAUGGUUCAACAGUGAAAGACGGUCUUGCUGUCACUUAUAGAUGGAUCCGCGCCGCAUUAGCUAGUUGGUAAGGUAACGGCUUACCAAGGCAACGAUGCGUAGCCGACCUGAGAGGGUGAUCGGCCACACUGGAACUGGGACACGGUCCAGACUCCUACGGGAGGCAGCAGUAGGGAAUCUUCCGCAAAGGGCGAAAGCCUGACGGAGCAACGCCGCGUGAGUGAUGAAGGUCUUCGGAUCGUAAAACUCUGUUAUUAGGGAAGAACAAAUGUGUAAGUAACUAUGCACGUCUUGACGGUACCUAAUCAGAAAGCCACGGCUAACUACGUG